rnacentral:lncRNA from 1 species
AAGGAGGCCUUAGGAAGGGACAACGGGACACGACUUAAUGAAGAAAAAUCUUAGGAGGAUAUUGCGGAUAGGAAUGGAAGAGAAAGAAAAGCGGGAAGGGCGGAUGGGCCCUCGCUCGGAGGGUCGAAAACGUGCACCCACCCGUAUUUGCCCUGGCACGAGGCGUCAUUAUUUUGAGUGCGACACGCCCGAAGAAAGUCUCGUUGCCUGUUGGUAGGAGAAAUGAACGGGCAAACUGGGA